rnacentral:tRNA from 1 species
UAGCUCAGACGGUAAAGCAUCUGCCUGCAGUGCAGGAGACCUGGGUUCGAUCCCUG